rnacentral:rRNA from 1 species
GACGAACGCUGGCGGCGUGCUUAACACAUGCAAGUCGAACGGAAAGGCCCUGCUUGCAGGGUACUCGAGUGGCGAACGGGUGAGUAACACGUGGGGGAUCUGCCCUGCACUUCGGGAUAAGCCUGGGAAACUGGGUCUAAUACCGGAUAGGAGCCAUUUUUAGUGUGAUGGUUGGAAAGUUUUUUCGGUGUAGGAUGAGCUCGCGGCCUAUCAGCUUGUUGGUGGGGUAAUGGCCUACCAAGGCGGCGACGGGUAGCCGGCCUGAGAGGGUGGACGGCCACAUUGGGACUGAGAUACGGCCCAGACUCCUACAGGAGGCAGCAGUGGGGAAUAUUGCACAAUGGGCGCAAGCCUGAUGCAGCGACGCCGCGUGGGGGAUGACGGCCUUCGGGUUGUAAACUCCUUUCGCUAGGGACGAAGCUUUUUGUGACGGUACCUAGAUAAGAAGCACCGGCUAACUACGUG